UACGAAGGGGGCUAGCGUUGCUCGGAAUCAUUGGGCGUAAAGGGCGCGUAGGCGGCGGGGUAAGUCUGGUGUGAAAUCUCGGAGCUCAACUCCGAAAUUGCACUGGAUACUGCUCUGCUAGAGGGCUGGAGAGGAGAUCGGAAUUCACGGUGUAGCAGUGAAAUGCGUAGAUAUCGUGAGGAAGACCAGUGGCGAAGGCGGAUCUCUGGACAGCUCCUGACGCUGAGGCGCGAAGGCUAGGGGGAGCAAACGGG
rnacentral:rRNA from 1 species